GGCUGGUCCGAAGUUAGUGACUUAUCUCACUUGAUUGUUCACAGUCAGUUACAGAUUGAGCUCCUUGUUCUACUACUUAACCCCCCUCCUCACUACCGCACUUGACUAGUCUUAA
rnacentral:Y_RNA from 1 species